rfam:Triticum aestivum genome assembly, contig: Triticum_aestivum_CS42_TGACv1_scaffold_222056_3B
CUUGUACUCCCUCCGUUCCAAAUUACUCGUCGCUGAAAUGGAUAUAUCUAGAACUAAAAUACAUUUAGAUACAUCCAUACGUGCGACAAGUAAUUUGGAACGGAGGGAGUAGGCA